CGCGCGUCCGUGUGUCUGCGCCGCCGACUUCCGCCCGCACUGAACUGGUCACGCGCUCAGCGAGAAGCAGGUCGGGUUCGUAGCCCGGCUGUUGUCUGCUCGCUGUAGGUCCUUCCAUACCUAAGAAGCUCAGAAACCCCCGAAGCGUGCGGCCUUGGCGUUUCCUCCCGCUGGAGACCAGGGAGACACUAGUUUUCUCUGAGUUCCCACCUCCUAUCUAAAAGGGGACGCUAUUGACAUCUUUAUGAGGACAGAGUGUAAUGGUACUUGUAAACUCUGAAACCUUUUACAAAGGUCAAGGAUCGUGAUUACUUUUGCUGCCAUCCCAGAUCCCGCACUGUUCUUGAAAAGUUUUGCUGUAAGAAUUGCCUGAUAUGUUCCAGGAUCUUAGAGAUGAGUGAGCAUCGGAAGUCAUCUCUCUAGUCUCUGAAACCAGUGCAACCAGCUUCCAUUUGAGCCCUUACAAUGGUGGGAAUUCACCACUUAACUGACAACCCAGUCAAUGUUUUUCAUUGUGAAAUAUAUCACACCUACAGAAGAGAGCAUGGAAAUGUAUGG